UAGGAGAUUGGCUUUAAUCCACUAGAAGAGACAACUGCAGGUUGUGCAGAGGGAGACGUUCUGGUUGUAUCUGAAGUGUUUGGGUUUUACCGUCGUCACUCUGGACGUAUUUAGUCAUUUCUGACACCAUCUCAGCUGCAUUCUAAAUAAGGAUGUUUCUUGCCUUCCACUCUGAAUGCUGGGAUGGGCUAAAGCACCCCCUGCAACCCAGAAUGAUUUUUGAUGGGUCAGAAGAUGAGUGAAUGAUGCAGUGACCACUGAUUUAAUGAUUGCUAACAAGAUCCUUGAGUGGAACUAUCAUGUCUUCAAAGACUGGAUUCUUGGAAUUUGUGUCCAUCACAUGAUACCUUUGAAGAUGGCUGACAUUCAUGAUGAACUGUAUUUAGUAAUGGCUAUGGUUGAGUGAAUUGAGAUUUGAAAUAUGUGCAGUGCAUAUAUGCAUUCUACAGAUGAAUGAGGUAGAAAUUGGUCCUGUUUGUCCUGUUCCUGUUAUUUUGGAUGCACAUUUAUUAUAAAAGUUUACAAAUGGGGUGUAGGGGUGUAAAUAAAUAUUGAUCUUUAAUGUGGUUUGCAAUUGUGAUUUUACUUUGUCAAUUUUGUAAAAAAGUAUCAUUUAAUUAAAAAAUUAUAUUAUCUAUUUUAUCUAUAUAAUAUUGCAUUGUGAUCAGGUUUCUAGAUAGCUGUACAUUUGUCUUUGGAUCCCACUGUUCUGAUUUGUUAAAAUUUGACAAUGUUUAUACAAUGAUGGCAUUAUUAUAAUUAAUUUGGAGUCUAUUGUAAAACAACCCCCAUAUUGUAAUCUGUAUCAUAUCACCGCCAUAGUAACCCUUUUCUUUUGUCAGUUGUCAUGAUUUGUUUCAACUGUAAAAUAUGUGAAAAAUAAAGAUUGAAAAUAUA